AGGCUCAAAAGGCUCGGAAACUGGGGGCCAACGUUUACACCCUGGGUGUGGCUGAUUAUAAUCUGGAUCAGAUAACAGCAAUUGCAGACAGCCCUGGCCACGUGUUUGCAGUGGAGAAUGGCUUCAAGGCCCUGAGAAGCACCAUUGAUGCCCUCACGUCAAAGGUCUGUCUUGAUGUGACAUCGGUGGAGCCUUCCUCUGAGUGUGUAGGAGAACCCUACCAUGUGGUUAUUCAUGGAAAUGGCUUUCAGAAUCUAAAGAAACGGGAUGAAGUUAUUUGCAGAUUUAUCUUCAAUGAAAGCACUAUCAUUGGGAGUACUCUAUUGAAGUCAGCUUGAACAAAGGCAAAACAUUCUUCAAGAGCAAUGUCAGCAUCACCAGCACCACAUGUACUGUCAAGGAGCCACCACCUGUGCAGAAGCCAGAAAAG
rnacentral:lncRNA from 1 species